AGUCGAACGAUGAAGCCCCUUCGGGGGUGGAUUAGUGGCGAACGGGUGAGUAACACGUGGGCAAUCUGCCCUGCACUCUGGGACAAGCCCUGGAAACGGGGUCUAAUACCGGAUACGACCAUCUGAGGCAUCUCAUGGUGGUGGAAAGCUCCGGCGGUGCAGGAUGAGCCCGCGGCCUAUCAGCUUGUUGGUGAGGUAACGGCUCACCAAGGCGACGACGGGUAGCCGGCCUGAGAGGGCGACCGGCCACACUGGGACUGAGACACGGCCCAGACUCCUACGGGAGGCAGCAGUGGGGAAUAUUGCACAAUGGGCGCAAGCCUGAUGCAGCGACGCCGCGUGAGGGAUGACGGCCUUCGGGUUGUAAACCUCUUUCAGCAGGGAAGAAGCGCAAGUGACGGUACCUGCAGAAGAAGCGCCGGCUAACUACGUGCCAGCAGCCGCGGUAAUUCA
rnacentral:rRNA from 1 species